rnacentral:rRNA from 1 species
CCUACGGGGGGCUGCAGUGAGGAAUAUUGGUCAAUGGUCGGGAGACUGAACCAGCCAAGCCGCGUGAGGGAUGAAGGUACAGAGUAUCGUAAACCUCUUUUGUCAGGGAACAAAGGCGGGGACGUGUCCCCGGCUGAGUGUACCUGAAGAAAAAGCAUCGGCUAACUCCGUGCCAGCAGCCGCGGUAAUACGGAGGAUGCGAGCGUUAUCCGGAUUUAUUGGGUUUAAAGGGUGCGCAGGCGGGCGGUUAAGUCAGCGGUCAAAGCCCGGGGCUCAACCCCGGCCCGCCGUUGAAACUGGCAGUCUCGAGUUGGAGAGAAGUAUGCGGAAUGCGCGGUGUAGCGGUGAAAUGCAUAGAUAUCGCGCAGAACUCCGAUUGCGAAGGCAGCAUGCCGGCUCCACACUGACGCUGAGGCACGAAAGCGUGGGUAUCGAACAGGAUUAGAUACCCGAGUAGUC